rnacentral:ribozyme from 13 species
UGAAAGAAGAAGAAGAACUAAACAAAAAGAAAAAAGAGCUUGACAUCUUCAGACAACAACUUCAACAUCAUUCGUCUCUUCGUCUCUUUUUCUCUUCUUAAUUCUUCUUAUUC